GAUGAACGCUGGCGGCGUGCCUAAUACAUGCAAGUCGAGCGAACGGACGAGAAGCUUGCUUCUCUGAUGUUAGCGGCGGACGGGUGAGUAACACGUGGAUAACCUACCUAUAAGCCUGGGAUAACUUCGGGAAACCGGAGCUAAUACCGGAUGAUAUUUUGAACCGCAUGGUUCAAAAGUGAAAGACGGUCUUGCUGUCACUUAUAGAUGGAUCCGCGCUGCAUUAGCUAGUUGGUAAGGUAACGGCUUACCAAGGCAACGAUGCAUAGCCGACCUGAGAGGGUGAUCGGCCACACUGGAACUGAGACACGGUCCAGACUCCUACGGGAGGCAGCAGUAGGGAAUCUUCCGCAAUGGGCGAAAGCCUGACGGAGCAACGCCGCGUGAGUGAUGAAGGUCUUCGGAUCGUAAAACUCUGUUAUUAGGGAAGAACAUAUGUGUAAGUAACUGUGCACAUCUUGACGGUACCUAAUCAGAAAGCCACGGCUAACUACGUG
rnacentral:rRNA from 1 species